UUUGGUUAUCUUUAGAUAUUUAAUCUUUCCUAAUUCAAUAUCUGUUCGGAUAUUUUGCUACUUGGGUUCGGGUUUGGAUAUGGGGUAAAAUGCGGACCCUAGAAGAAGCCAUGAAAAGGUUUUUCUAUUGCAGCUUUUCCCUGUGAUUAUUAAAGCCCCCUUUUUGUAUCACAACUCAGAAGUCGUCCCCAAAUAGCAGCUCCGACUGUUAGAUUCAGAAGAUUCUCCGGCGAACUAACACUCCGGUGGAGCUUAGAGAGAUGCUUCUAAUUCGAGCUAGCUUCUAAUAGGUCCUUCUCUCUCGCUCUCACUUUCCGAUUAUACUCUCUGCUCUCUGCUCUCUCUCUUAAUGUGCAGAUUAGCUUCUCAUAGAUUCGUAACCCAUAGCUGAUGAAUUUGAUUCACGAAUUUACUCAAAAGUUUUUCAUAUAGGAAAUGCAGAUCCAGUGAGCCCUUAAGGAAAGGCAAGGGGACAGCUUUAUCUAUGAGAAGACUCGUUCCUGUAGAAAUGUCCAAAGAGGUUGAAAACACCGAAGAAAGCUUGACGGGGACGUGACGGUGGUACUGAUCGAGCAUCCAUAUGGAGUAGAUGAUGAUGGAAACACCGAAGAAAGCUUGGACGAAAUUGAGGAUCUUGAGUGUUGAAGCGAACGAAAGAUGGCAGCAAUUAUGCCUCAUUUCUUUCUUCCUCAGACUCAGAGAUGAUUGAUUGAUUGAUUGAUGGAAAAGCUUUUUUCAAAGGUCGUCCC
rnacentral:lncRNA from 1 species